AUUGAACGCUGGCGGCAGGCCUAACACAUGCAAGUCGGACGGUAGCACAGAGAGCUUGCUCUUGGGUGGCGAGUGGCGGACGGGUGAGUCAUGUCUGGGGAUCUGCCCGAUAGAGGGGGAUAACCACUGGAAACGGUGGCUAAUACCGCAUAACGUCGCAAGACCAAAGAGGGGGACCUUCGGGCCUCUCACUAUCGGAUGAACCCAGAUGGGAUUAGCUAGUAGGCGGGGUAAUGGCCCACCUAGGCGACGAUCCCUAGCUGGUCUGAGAGGAGGACCAGCCACACUGGAACUGAGACACGGUCCAGACUCCUACGGGAGGCAGCAGUGGGGAAUAUUGCACAAUGGGCGCAAGCCUGAUGCAGCCAUGCCGCGUGUAUGAAGAAGGCCUUCGGGUUGUAAAGUACUUUCAGCGGGGAGGAAGGCGGUGCGGUUAAUAACCGUACCGAUUGACGUUACCCGCAGAAGAAGCACCGGCUAACUCCGUGCCAGCCGCCGCAGUAA
rnacentral:rRNA from 1 species